UACAUUGGCGUUUUAAGAAUUUGUCAGCAAAUGCAAGUUAAAUAGUAUGGCAUGAACUAUUGCUUUUUUGAGAUAAUGGACCAACCUAGCUUUUUUUAUUGAUCACUCGUUCUCCACGCGAUUAUAGUUAAAGUUAAUUUAGUUGAAGAUAAUAUUUGCGAUUGUUCACAAUCAUGACUAACUCUAGAACUUAUUUUAAUCUUUCCUAUUCAUACAACAGUCAUCAAUUUAUCGAUGGUAAACAACCUUGACAAACAAAGGUUUUAUAUGAUUUACAUAACAUUAUUUCCUUCACUGCUCGCCAAAACCCUUCUGACGAUAUAGAUUUUUGGGCGAUGAUUUAGUUAAGUAAGUUGAUUUGUUUAAAAGCACAAAACAAUAAAUUUUUUAAAAAUAAUUCAUUUAGCAAAGUCGUGGUCAAAUAAUUUAUAUAUGGUUCAAUAACUAUCCAUGUUAUAGUUAAUUGACUGUAUUACAACUGAAAGGUAUAUUUCAGGUACUAUAAUCGCGUAUGGACCAAAAAUGGAAUGACCAUAAACUGGCUAGGUUAUGCAACAGGGAAGAACGAACGAUAUCAGAGAAAAUGAUUCUGUAUUGAUAUAAUCGAUUUCGUAACCAAGUAAUCUUCUCAACCUUGUUCUGAGAAUAAAGUAAUUAUGCAAGAAUAUACUGCAAAUUAACUGAAGCCGCAACCAUCAAAAAACACAUAUACUAUUAUCAUCAGCGUAUAGCUUAUUAAGCUUAAAACAUAACAUUUGAUAUCAAUAGCAAUGGAAUAGCUCAAUGUUGUUCUUUGGCCUUUGCCAAUUCUUCGAAAGUAGCCUUGACAGCAGGUCGUGCAAGAAGUCUUUGAUUCCAAGCGUAAGCUUUAGGAAACUCUUUUUCAAAAUCAAGCUGAGGAACCUCUUCCUUGAAUGAAAAUUUCCCUUCCCCGAAAAGACCGCCAAGGUUGUAGUUCCAAGGAAUAAACGAUAAAUCAGCAAUUGUAUACUUAUUCGCUACAAGAUAAUCACGAUCUUUAAGAAUAUCUUCAAGUACUCCAAGAACACGCUUUAUCUCAUUUCUAUAACGGGUGACUGCAGAUACCACUGGCUCAUGAUGGAAAAAGUUGAACCAUCCAGCUUGACCCCAAAUAACGCCUUGUCCAGAAGCUUGGAAGAACAAGUAUUGGAUAAGUUUAUAGUAUUCAGGGUCAUCAAAGGAUAAUGAAAUCUUUCGAUCCGUAUCAUACUUGUCAGCCAAAUAAAUCAAAAUGGCGUCUGAUUCCCAAAUAGUAUAAUCAUUGUUUUUGUGGUCAACUAAAGUAGGUACUCUUCCAUUGGGGUUUAAAGCCAAGUGUUCCUUGCAUUUUUGUUCUCCUUUUUGGAAAUCAUAAAAUAUUUGUUCGUAAGAAAGAUUCAAUUCUUUCAAAGCAAGGACCACCUUCCAAGGAUUGGGUCCUCCAGCAUGCGAGUAUAAAGUAAAAUGAGCCAUAAAAUUGGAAUUCUGGCUAAAAAUUUGUAAUUGGUAGUAUCUAAAACUAGAACGAGGAUGCCUGACUUUUGUAUGUAUCGUAUUACUGAGUGCUUAUGUAAGAAAUUUGUAAUAGCCUAAGGCCAUUUGUAAUAAUUGUUAGUCAG